CAAUUACUCUAGCCACAUCUACCCCCCAAUUGCCCAGGUCAUCCUGACAUCCCAUCCUUACAGCAUUCAAACCAAAAAUUGAAAAAUUAAAACCUCAGAAUCUCCAUUACACAUCAAGAAAUCCUCAAAUCGUAUCUCAAUCCAUGUUUAUGUAAUUUCUAUGUCCACAAAAUCGAUUUCGAGCGCUAAAAUCUCCGCAUAUUGCGAUUCCUGCGUUGUUAUUUCAACCAAGCGUGAACGAUUCAUCAGAUUGGUGUGAUGGUGGUGAGGUGGUUGGGUGUGGUGUGGUAAUGUGAAUCUUCCAGCCCUCAAGAAAUCAGAUGCAAUGCUAAUUAGCAUCUUGGAUGGGUUUCGUGGCAUUAAGUUUUACUAUUUGAGAGUGGGAUGAAUGUUGCUGACUCUCACGGAGGCGUUUCAUAUCUGUUGAAGAAAAAUGGUGGAUGCCUUUCCCAGAGGUCCCACCCAAUUGUUUGUCUGAAUUUUCACUUGCAAUCUUCAACUCGACAUGUCAGCAUGUACUCACGUUUGUCGGACCAUACUGGGAGCUAUUGUGUAUGGCAUAUAACGCGACUGUCUUCUUCAUUAACUUCUUGUCACUGAAGACCUGGUUCUCUGUAUCUAUGUAGUCGCCUGCCCUUGAAUCUCCAACAUGGUACUCGACACUUUCAUCUUCUUUCGACUGUAAUUCUAUUAUAUACAUGCUUGCGACAAACUCCGUUAUGUGUCUUCUUUUGCGAAAUGUAAAAAAUGUAUCCCACUCCUACAUGCGACGUUAAUUGUACAUGUUACAUUUCAUGGGCACGUGAUUUAGUUCUAUCAUUUUUUAUACGUCUCUUAGUAUCACACACUUUGUUACAUUUUGGCAUUUUACCUACCUGUCAAUGUGCACGAGUUCAUUUAAACUAUAACUACGAAUAUUAACCAAAAUCAAGCUUUAGAUUCACACAAUCACAUGUAAUUGUUGAUUAUUGCAGAAUUAUCACUUCACACAUUAUCUCACACGAUCCAUUCUACAUCAUGGAUGAUGUACACUUCACAGAGGAGAAUCUCGACCAAGUGGAAGAGAUGGUAAACUGUGCCCUCAAGCUAAAAAGAAAGUGCGUCACUCAAGUAACUUAUAUCAGUUUCUGAGUUUUUCUCACCAUCCAGGCAAUUAUUUUGACAUCAUUUUUGCAAAGCAAUAUGCUACAUCGUUGAACUGAUCAAAAAAAUAUAUAUAUAUGCUACGUCGUUGCAAUAUAUUUACCAAAUUACCAUGUGUCUUAUAUGACAAAGAGCUACAAUAUCUAACACUUGUGAUUUGUACUCAUAUACUUCAAUUUCUACGUUAUCUAAAGACUAUAAUGUUGGUUUAUUAUUUUUUAGAAUGAUGGAAGAACAUGGUCAUUUCAUAUGUUUAGAACAAGGAGGACUUGGGCUCAGACCAAGGUGUGCAAGGGAUGUUCCGACAUGAUGCACGACCAAUCAACACUAAUCUGAAUUCUCCCACAAUGGUGCUGAUAUGUUAAUAUAUUUUGCCCAACUGCUUAUUAACUUAAUUCAUAACACUAUCAUUUUAAGUUGCGCAAAUCACAAUGAUGCUUGUCAUAUAUUCUAGUAUAUUUGAUAUGUUACUUUAAGUGCAAAUUUCAGGACAUAAUAUAGUAAUACUACACAAUAAGAACAAUGUCAUAUUUGGCACAGAUCACGCAACUAGCCAUCUGAAUCGACAUUUUUGAGGCACGACCAUUUGUUUGUACUGCUGUGCAUAAUGGUGAAUUUAAGUGCAUGACAAGCCAGCAUCUUUGAUGGAAUUGAAAGUGUCGAUCCACUUGUCGUCAAUAUAGUUAAUGACAUUCCACGAGAUAAUAACGAGUCUUUUACUAUUCUUGAACUUGCUAUGUUAAUCAAUCUAAAACACACUAAAAGUGUUAACUGUCUUUCAUUCUAUUACACAAUUAUGUGAUUUAGUUAGUUAUUUAUUUAUUUACUCUGUGUGUGUCAACUAAUAUGUUCAUUGCAACUAAGAUUUACAAAGUAUAAUGAUAUAAUUGCUUUUCUUUUGCAGCCAUGAUGACGAAGGUGUAUUUGUGACAAAGUAUGUGGAGUUCAUUAUCAAUGAAAUGAUACAUGAUAUGUUAGAAAACGUGGUUCCAAAGAUCACAAGGGCAUACCUGGCUUGUCAACUAUAUAAAUAUGAAAUCCAAAAGAGCAACGGAUAUUAUGAAUCAGAUGUUGAUCUCGUCCCAGGAGUAUCGGGAAAGCGAUGAAGGCUAGGAAUGUCGAUAAUAUCUAGAAGUCAAUCAAGGGGAAAAAAUUAGUCUAUUUUGUUGAUACCCAUCAAACAUUUGUUGACGUCUUUUUACUUUUUUAGCCAUGUUAGCAAAUUUGUGCCUGAUUUGAUGGUGUUUACUUGAACAACUUUAGUAAUCAUGCAACGUCUAUUAUAUGGCGGUUUUUUUUAAUUGAAAUUCAAUACAAUAUGUUGG
rnacentral:lncRNA from 1 species